CCACAACGGUUACUAAAGAGUCCAAGUUUCUAUCAAAAUCAAAGCAUCUAUCGUUCUGUCCCACAACAUUACACUCAUUUUCUUCCACUUCUUCCUCCCUCUCCCUAAAAUCUCCAUUUGUGUUCUUCUUGUAAUCGAUUCCAAAGCGUGUUGACCACAUUCAAGAUAUCUAUUUUUUUCAAAUUCAGGUACGUACUUAGACCUUGAUUUUAUUAUAUUUUGGUCUUCAUAUGUAUUUAUGAUGUUGUUGUUGUUGUAUUGGUCUUCAUAUGUAUUUAUGAUGUUGUUGUUGUUGUUGUUGUUGUAUUGGUCUUCAUAUGUAUUUAUAACUGCUUGACGGUUAUUUCCGAGUGCAAGGCUGCAGACAUGACGACUCAGAACCUGAGAGCCACAAAGGAGAUAUUCCAACCAUGAAACCAGUAUGGAAACACCUUUCAAUGAUUUACAUACAAGGAACACUCGGUUUUUUCGUUCUCUUUUUUCCCUAAACAUACAAGACAUACUCUAUUUUCAUUCUAUUUCCCCCCCUAAUUUUGACAAAUUUCGUUAUUAACAUUGUACUGUCAUUCUCCAUUUCCUGCAGUAGAGAACAACAACAACUGAACUGGUGAUUUACUUUAUUCUUCAACACUUUUAAAAGGCAGGUCAAUUUUUCAAUUUUCAAAUGUGAAGGCAUAUGUCGUAUAUUAAUUUGGUUAGUGUAAACACCGGUAUGAAUAAUUUUAUACCAUCCUUUUCCUCCUUCUUUUGCUUUUCCCCCCACAACUUUAAAUAAUUUGGUUUCUUUCUUCUUGCAUGUUGUUAAUAAUGUUUAUCACUUGUGUAAUUACUCUAAUUAUUAAUCGUAUUACCUUAGCAAUUUCAAAAGUCAAUUUCUUAAUCCUCUUUUGGGAGGCCAAAAGCACUUUUUUAAUUAAAAAAAAUAAUCUUAUUUUAGAAAGGUGAGGUGUUUAGCCAAGCUUUUGAAAGAAAAAAAGUGUUUCUGGGAGUAGCAGAAGCUGUUUUUCAAAAGCUAAAAGAAGUAGCUUUUCUCCAAAAGCACUUUUGAGAAAAUAUAGAAGCACUUUUAAAAGUUUGGCUAAACACUUAAUUGCUACUCAAAAAUGAGUUUUAAAUUAAUUUGGUCAAACACAAGAGACGGAGGGGGUAUUCAUUUGAAAUCUCAAAUGCAUUCUUUAAUUUUUGUAUAUAUAACCCAAACAGGACAACAUGAGUUGGCACUGGCACUAUGAUAAGAACUGAUAUGUUUUGAUGACAUGACAAAUCCUAAGGAACCAGAUACAAUUAGAUUCACUUGUUUGAACGUGGUUAACCUUAUGAUAUCUCAUAUGUUGUUUUCUAACAUGCUCCUUGAAGGAUCAAAUGCCUGCAGGAUUUGCUCAUAUAUGAGAGACCAGAUAUGUUGAUUCAGAAGGAUUAGAUGGGAUUGGGUGUCCCGCCUACUUAGCUAACAAUGCAGCUGUAGAGAUACUGACAAUGUAUCCAGUACUUACAACUUGUUCGAAGAACUGAUAAGGAACCAGGUUCCUCCAGGUAAAGGUCCUGGUCACUGAAUCUGAAAGUACAAAUACACAGCUGUAAAGCGUGCUGCUAAAAAAUAUAAUGCAGUUGUACAACAGUACCUCAGCAAGGCCGAUUGAUUAACGGUCCAGAUUUCAUCAGCUGUCGUCUCUACUCUCUUUCUCUCUCCGUGCAUAUAAGGACAUCAUCUUCCAAGAGAAGACUCAUUCUUGCACAAUCCGAAAAUUGCUCCAUCCAAAGUGCAAGUCUCCACCUUUCAAGGUUGGUGAUUGGAAGAGAACGAGGAAGUAAAUGGUGACGAGGACAGCGAAGAGGAGGAAGAAACAUGAAAGGAAAAAUUGAUACGAAAUUAAGCAACUUGAAUUUGACAGUAACAAUACACCUUGUAUAGACUUUUUAAAAAAUUCUAUGGACUUAGAAUAACACAUUUUCACAAAUGUAGCUCCUGCAAACUUAUUUUCCCUGUUUUCUCCUUUUGUAGCACUUUGUUCCUCAGAAGACGAAGCUUGAA